AAAAAUUUAGUUAAAUAAUAACAAUAGUUUGUCAGGCUAGAAUUAUCUCCUAUAGAUCAUUUUUU
rnacentral:tRNA from 1 species